rfam:Myotis lucifugus cont2.57992, whole genome shotgun sequence.
GAGACACCCUUAUGGGGCAGGACUUGCUUCAGUGGGGCUUUGGGUGCUCACUGAGUCUGUCCCCUGAGUGUGUCUCU